rnacentral:lncRNA from 1 species
AUGUCCUCUUGUUGCAUACUGGGCCCAGAAUUAAUGAGAUUUAGGGAAGAAGCCUAAAAUAGAACAUAUAACUAUAUUAAAUUAUUGUGUUGAUUAAAGGGAAAACCCCCUUACAAGCAGACCUCAACUGCUUCUCUAUUUCUUUUUUCUGGGGCUCUGAUUUUAGGGCUAAUUUUCAAAUACUUUUUCUUUGCCCAAUCAGUUAAUACCGUAAGAAAGAAAAAAAAUGUUUUUCUUUUGGGCGUUGGAAAUUAUCAUUCCAUGUUCAGGCUUUUAUGCUCUGUGGGUAACAUUUUAAAUUGAAUUUAAUUGAAAUUGAGUGUAUAGCUGUGAACUUUCAGGGAAGAAAUGCUACCUGUAAAGCUUCAAUUUGUUGAAGGUAUCAGAGGGGAUUUCAAGUUUAAGGCUAUCCCUGCCUGACAUAUACUAUAAAUUUCUUGUAGCAAGUUUUGGUGAUAAUGCAUUAGUAUUCUUAAAAAAGAUUUUGUUGGUAUAACCUUAUAUUGUAGGCUCCUACUACACUAGAACUUUUAGAAUUCAAAGAGAAGUACAGCUAUUCAAAUUCCAAUGAAAUAUUAACACUACUUUUCCAAAUUGUUAUUUUGAGACUACCUUGCCCAGGCAGGAAAUGAAGCAGCUAACAAAAGAUUGAUCCCCAUAUGGCUUGCCAUGAAAGCUUUUAUCUACUCUUUUUCUAACCUGAGCCAGCUUGUUCCUUCUUAGACAGCCUGGUAGCUCUCAUCCACUCCUGGGAGCCUACUAUAUAUUUAUUGUGGAGAAUCUGACUGGCUAGCCCUACUAUACCUCAGAACUCCCUGACUCAUAAGAAACCCACCAUCUUAGUCUUCCUAACAAGAAGAUCUACAGGUAGGAGCCAUUGUAUCUGGUUGCUUUCCUUUUUUUUUUUUCCUAAGGACAUGUUUAAUCUCACAUUGACGUUGCUGGUGACAAAGCCUCCAACAGUAUAAUGCAUACCGUUGACUGAUUGGAUCACCAACUUUUGGUAAUGUAGGUAUUUAUGGAAUAGGAAAGGUUGAAUGAGGCAGGUGACUAUUUGAAGAACACUGAAGGGAAAUAAAGUUUACCUACUAGAUGAGAUUCUAGGAGGGGAAAUUAAGUGGGUACUUCUAAGUGGGGGUGGGGGGAGUAUGGGUAUUUUGUCUCAGUUUAGUGCUUUGCUAGUAAUCUUUAACGACCUCAAGUGGUCAAGAGAAGUAACAAUCUCCUUAACACAAGCAAAGAGGUUUCACAAAGAACCCCAUACAAAUGCAAGACUGGAGGAAAUAUGUUGGCCUUCCAUUACUCAUUUACUACCUCUCAGGUUGCUUGGCUUCCAAGUCAGGCUAACCCCUGAGCCCAAGCUGGGGAGCUCUGAAUUCACGCCCAGAGAGGCACAACUAUGUGGUUUGAACAUCUCAUUAGUUGGUGGGUAUAGUGGGCUGGCACACUCUAAGUAAAGAUGCUUACUUUCCAGCAAACUAUCCAAGAUAGCCAAUGCUGCAAGUUAGAGGCAGCUGCUAUGAACAACAGGUUACACAACCUUGCAGAAAUUUUUCUUACAUUUGACAUAUUGCUAUGUCUAAUUUUAACAUAGCUUCCCCUACAUGGCUAGAGAUAGGAAAACCAUCCUGUCAAUCUAUGCAUCUAAAACUUUUCACCUUUUGUUUCUGGGUCUUAAUUUCCUUAUAUAUUGUUUGUCUGUCCUUCACUCUCAAAGAGGAAUGUUGUGGAUGAAAUAGGUGAUCCCUGAAAGGUCCUUCUAAGUACGACAUCAUAUGGCUCUUUUCCUAGAUGACUAAGAGACUGACUCAAAAGGAUUGCAAAGGAAUGGUUAUAAAACUAUUAAAACUUUUGAUCGGGGUUUUUUUCAGUGAUAUUUUUAUCCUUGGGGUUGCUAACAAUCUGCCCUACUUGUAUGAUACUCAUACCCUCACUCCCCGUCCAAGAAAUACACCUUUGCCCUCAUGCUUCUGAAUUUUAAGGAAAGUUAGCCAACAAAAUGGGAUGGAAAUAGCUCGGAAAUAGGGACCAAUUCUAAGGUUUCAGAUUAUGAAAAAUUAUGAUCUGGAGUGACAGUUUCUGCAUAAUUGAAUUCAGUUCCCCUGAAAGUGGAAUCCCAAAUGUUUCUCUUCAGAACUCUUAAGGUUUGUAGGUCCUUUUUCUUCUUUUUGCCAGGAGGUUGGAGGUAGGAUCGGUAGGUCUUUCUGAAGAUUCAUUGUUAGGAGAAGGAAUCUUAUUUUUUAAAAAAGUUACUCCCAAAGGUUAAAGCAAAAAACAAAAAAACAAAAAAACAAAAACAGUAUGACAAAACUUCACAUUUCCGGAGUUAUACUCUAUAAGAAAGGAACUACUAAGGGUCUUCCACAUCCAUCACCCUAAUGUACAUUCCCUAAAGAUUUUUGCAAUUUAAAAUUGCAAAUAUGUUAAAGGCUUCAAGCCAGCAAGAGAAUCAGCAUUACAACAAAAUGGAUUUCCUUGGCUCAAUUUCAGAUUUUGACCAACUUUGGCAAGCCUUUUAAAAAUGAAAAGUUUUGAAGGCAGGGAACGGUAGCACAUGGGCAUUUCACGUUUGUGUUCUGUACAAGAAACAUAGUCAGACAGAAGUAGCUUGAUGGCAGUCCUGACUGCCCCACACGCUCUCCGAAGCACAUAGAGCAUUUUUCUCCCUAUACUUUUCAUAUCCCUCCCUUCUUUGAACUUUUAAGAGAUCAAACAUAACUUAGAAAACAGGCAUUAGUAAAAGAAAAACUUUGUUCCUUAUAGUGAAUUAGGCACUGAAUGCAUAGUGUUGAGGUUUAUACAGUUCUGAGAGUAUCAUGGGAGGUAGCAUCAAGUUGUCUAAAUCUGUGUGUGUGUGUGUGUGUGUGUGUGUGUGUGUGUGUGUAAUAAAUUCAAACUUUUUUUCUUUUUCUUCUUCUUUUUUUUUUUUAGAAGAGAAUGUCUCUGAGCAGGCACAAGCCUAGUUCUUUCUGCUGUGCCCCUUUCCAGAUUAUCUGUAUCUUUCCAACAAAUAUGCUUCCCUGUGGCUGCUCUUUCUCUACAAUACAAAAAACCCAGAAGAUGCUGUAUCUUGAACCAGUUUAUGCUAAUUUCUAAAUUACACUCUUGAGAAAAUGAUUAUUCAUUUCAUAAUAUCAAAUUAUAUUAUAAACUUUUCUUCCCAUUGAUUUGCUAAUCUCUUUCAUAAAAAUCAUUGCUAUUACAAGAUGCCAACAUAAGAUGUGAGAUUAAAGAUAAUGAUCUUCCACUUUUGACACCUGGAAGUGAUUAACAUAUGUGAGAAUAUUUUUUUCCAAUGAGAAGAACAUUAGAUAGAACCAAAAGAGAUGAGCUUGAACCUUGGCCCUGCCCUAACUUUCUGUGUGAUCUGGGGCAAGUCAUUUCAAUUCUGAGUGAAUGAAUCAGUUUCUUCCUCUGAAAAAUGAAAGGCCUGUACAAGAGUCAUUUUAAGGCUUCUUACAGCACUUAUUCUGUGACUCCAAUUUAAAGCAACAUUACACAUCAAAUGCAGAGGAAGAAAUGAAGUCUCAUGUCUUAAUACUCCUUAAGUUACCCAUUCAAAAUGAGUUUACAAUGAAAUUUACAUUAAAUAUGUCCAGAGCACAGAAUUUAUUAAACAUAAUACUGAGCCAAAUAAUACAAAAGUGGACAUUUUGGCCUGGCAUAUAUUGCCUGACUGAUACAGACCAGUGAAUGAAUACAUGAUAUAAAGAACUUGUUUAAACUACAGAAGCAGUAGUCAGCCUUCUCCUCAAGAAUGUAUAAUUACUAUGUAACUAUAAUUUAUUGCAUGUUAGAAAACAAAAACAUACAGUGAGAAGUGUUCUCCCUAUGUCAGCUUUUAAAAUUAACUAUGCCAAAACAGGAAUAUAACUUUAACACACAAGGAAAAUGGAAUGAAGAUUUUUACUACAUCUGUUUUGAUAAAGGUACAGAUAGGAUCUCACUAUUAGAAAUUAGAAUUAAAUAUACAUUAAGAACUGUAGGAAUUACCAAGAGAAACAAGAGUGGAAAGCAUACCGGACUAAUUUGAAUUUUAGAAAAUCUCUUCAAUUACUUACAAAGGGGAAGAAAGAGCAUUCAACAAAUUCUUUUGGGUUUUUGAUAAGAUAUUUCAAGCAGUAUCAUCAGAUCCUAAAUGCAGAGCUGGGAAGACUCUCAGGUAUCUUGUCCCACUCCCUGUUUAUAGGUGAGCCAACUGAGCCCCAGACAGGUUAAGUGACUUCUACUCUUUUCCCUGUAUCACAUUGUCACUCAUUUACAGAGAAAAGAGAAAAGAGCUCCUAUAACACAUAAUGGCAAAACAAUAGCAACAAUGAGAACAUGUAUUUUCUCUUUUAGUGUCUGUAUGUGAACAUCAAAACUACACAUUGGGGACUCUUUAAGAUUCUUAUUUAUGAAAGUCUGAUAGUGCUUUGGAAAGAAGGAGUCCUUGUAUUAAUGAUCUCAAUAUUAUUGGCAAGCAAAUUUUGACUGGAAUCAGUCAAAUAAUACACCCCCUUUCUCCCAUCAUGGGGGUGGGGUGGAGAUGUUGAAUUCCAGGAGUAACAGCUGAAUUUAGUUUACUUCUAAAAACAAUGCCCUAAAAAUGCAGGCAGAAGAACAAUAAAAGAAUCCUAGGGUUGGUAUAUGAAACAUGCAUAGCAAUUUAUCACUUUCUUAAAUAACAAGCCAUAUUAAUUAUGAAUAAGUUAUAGUCAUCUCUCUCUGCCUUGCCUGUCCUUAUUGAUAAUAAUUGAAAGGAAACACAAAGGAAAUUGUAUUUCCUUUUGGUAAAAAACAGCAUGCUUUGAGUUUUCUCCAUGAACCCAUGCAUUUGGCCCAGAAGGUGAUCAACAUAGAUGUUGCUCUGCUCCCUAGUCAGAAAGCUUGUCAAUAAACAAAGCAGGUUUGAGCUGAUGAUGCUAUCACUCCCACACCAAUAUCCAUUAGACAAUGAUCAAAUAUAUAUCAACCCUUUGGUAUAAAAUAAAGGAACUGUAAUAAGACAUUGUCACAGUAGCAAAGUUUUGUUUGUUUGGCUUCUUUUUUUAAAUGGCUUUAUCUAGCAGCAACAGAUUAUUAUUCUGGGUGUCAUUUUAUUCCACCAUUACUUUUUAAUCAGGUCAUUGUGUACAAUGGAAACAUUUCAGAGAUUACAGUUGCAAACAUUUAUGGCAUCUUAGACAAUAACUAUAUUUGGUUUUCCCAAAAUGUCUAAAUAGAGGAGUAAAGCAAACAUUUUCUAAUGAAUUGGUUUUUAAUAAAAAUAAAGCCCAAACUAAUUUUCCUGAUAAAACCACUCAUAUGUGAAUCUGAUUGCACAGUGAACUAUUAUAAUAAACCAAGAAUCAAAAAUAAUAAUCCUGUAAUGAAAUUGAUUAAUUAAACCUGAAACAUAAGUUCUACAAAUUGGCCUUCAAAAUCCAUAAAAGGAAACAAAGUUGAAAAUCUGUUUUUUAGAUAAAUAUAGGCAUUUUACAUUUUUUUAUAACAUUAUUGAGAGUGGAAGUACUUGUUAGGUGUCAAUGGGUAGACAUUAAAAAAUGAAAAUUUUAAUUCCAGAUCUCUCUCUCAGAAAUACAGUCUACCUCCUUAGUUGUUAUCUGUCUCUCUCCACUCCCAUUUUCCCAUCAUCAAGCUUACCUUAUUAAUCUAGCCUGUCUCCUAGAAAUGCUAUGCCAAUUUAGGGAAAGGUAGAAAAUAUCCUUAGUCUUAUACCUGCAUUUUGAAACAAAAUUUGAGGCUUCUGUACUGCCACUUUAGUAAGUGGUGCUAACAGUAAAAAGUCUAAAAAUAUGCAUUUUCACAAAUGGCCGUAACUUUACAUACAAAUUAGUGUGUAUAUACAGUCACAUCCCCAGAGUGGGUGUGCUGGCUUACUACAGGGCAGCUCAUAUCACUAUGCUGAACCAAAUUGGCAAUUUUCUUUACAAGAGACUUUCAAAAAUUCAGCCCCAAAGCCAAAGGUUUUCAGAUAGGAGGAGAGUUAGAGAGCAUAAUUCUAUCAUUCUACUUACUUGUGACUAGGGAGGUUUUUGAAUAAUAUUUCUAUGACUAUUUCAUUUUUAUGAAAACCAAAUCUAAGAUGGAGAAAAAACUAUCAACACAAAAGCCCCUGCUGAUGCAAAUGCCCUUACAACUCUGAAUGUCUGUCUCUGAAACAGAAAAGUAUGAAGUACAAGCAUCUCUAAUGCUAUAGGACAAAGGAAGCUUAGAAAAAGUCCUACUCCUAACAACUACUAGACAAUUAUGCUCUACGUUAUUUGAGGAUUACCAACUCCUUGAUUUUUCAGCUUUGUUUUCUUUAUGGAUCUUGAAGAGAAAUUUGCAGAACUUGUUUCAGGUUUAAUUUAUUCUCAUUAUAGGAAGAUUAUUUUAAUUUUUGAUAAAUAAUAAAGUAGGGGUUCUUAAUAAAGACACCUCUCCCCCUAUCUAAUCAGGCAUUCUAGGAAUAUGACUUUAAAAUCUGAAGUAACUGCGGAUUUAUCAGAUUCAGAUGGAAUGAACAGGUACUCCAUUUCUAUCUUGGGAAAUAAAGUCUUUCUAAUAGUUGUCAUAACUGCAAGAUUCUGUCAUUCAAAAUCUUGCCAAUUCAUCUUUCUUAGUCCUAAGAGGCUGAUCAACAUCCUGGCCUGAGUGGGAGAUUUAGUUUUCUCAUUUUUUAAAGUAAGGAAAUAGACUAGAUGACCCAGCUUUAAAUUUCAUGUUUGCAGUACACAAAACCCCAGUAGCUAGAUACUCAUCUAGAGUUUUCUGUCUCCAGCAGGUGGAAGCAACAGCUUCCUUGCACAGGCCCAUAAAAGCAGUAUUAGGAAAGGACUCAAAUUUUCCUUGCAGAGCAAAUACCUCUCUUUACUUUUUAAACCAAGCAUUUCACAAACAAGAUUUAAAACGAACAAAACAAAAACAACAACUAUGUAACCCACUUUCAGAACAGACUCUAAAAUUAAGCAAUAAUUUAAUAAUAAAAUAUUAAUCCAAUAGGUAAAUGAUAAUGAAAUGAUUAAAUAUUAUGUUAGCCAUUUAUCCCAUAAUGAGUAGGCAAAUGGGAGGGUUUUCUAUAUGCCCCAAACUAGUCAACAUUUUGAAAAAUGUCAAGUUAUUAAAAAUGGUACCUAUUACAAUGAAGGGUAGUGUAAUGAACAGAAUUAUAGGACUCGAAAUCAAGCAGAUCUCUAUUGUUCAGUGAAUGAAGUUAGUGUUGUGUUUUGAACUAGGUUCUGCAUGCUAAGUAUUCUUUAAUAUAUUGCUCAAUUUUUACAGUUUAUCCUUGUGCCAUAGCUCAUUCCCAAAUUCAAUGUUAUCUAUGAGUGACCACUACAUUUAGGUGAGGUGCCGCUAAUAGACAAUACUCUGGGUCUGCUGCUUGGAAAGGCUAACACUGUUCUUGCAAUUUAUUUGGAAACAUUUGGUUUUCAUGAAUUGCUGGAGGUUUUCAUUCCUCCCACUUUCCUUUUUGUAAGUAUGAGCCCCUCACUGAAGAUAUCAACUAUCAGCCAGUAAAACCUACUAUGAUUUUUAUCAGUAUUCAUUACUGUCUGUGCAAGUAAUUUCAUAGAUCAGGGAAGGAGAAAAAAAAAUGCAGGUUAGAAAGAAUCAUUAAAGGGGACUUUGUCCUAAAAAUUAAAUUUAGAAAUUAGAGGUCUCCCUACAUGUAAAAUGCUAAUGGCUUGGUUUUUUUUUUUUUUUUUUUUUUUUUUUAAACUGCAUCUAAGAUGCAAACUUUAUGUGGGAAUAACACACAGCCACUGUUAUCCCCAUGGCUGAGGUUCCAAGGGAGCUUAAAUUCUCAAUUUAAAAAUAUGCUUGAUAAAAUUUUAUGAAACUUGAUGACUGCUCACGUCUUCUUGCAUGCUCUUUAUUGAGAUGGCCUUCAUUGGGGACUGGAUUUAGAGGGCAAGGGCUGAGCUUUGAGCAGUGGUUUGAAAUUUAAGAGCAAAGUCUAAUAUCCUAUCCCUCCAAUCUCUUUACAGCCUUACUUAUAUAUCAUCACACUUCCUAGGGUUAUCCUUGAUCACUAGUCCUUCUCUUCUCUUCUUAGAUUUAUUUUAAUGGCUUUCCUUCUCUCUUCACUGGAUGGAUUCACCUCUCUUCUCCCCCAUUCUGUAUCUAUCUCUUCCUUUACCCACCCUCUCUGCCCUCUAUCCAUCAUGAUUGAUAAGAUACCAGAAAUACUAAUAUAUUUCUGAUGCCUAUUAUGCCUUUCUCUGCCAGUUGUUUGGAUGCCCUAGGGCUCUGAAUUUUAUACUCUGAUAAUGAUAGAAAACAAACUUCUCCCUAAGCUCACAAAAAUAAACACAGAAUAUAGAACCCUAGCCAAAAAGCAAAACAAAAGACAAAUAUUCACUGGCUGACAGGAGAAGGGAUUGACAUCUUUGUAUUAAAAUUUUAGUUAAAACCCAUUCUUGUACAAAAUGAGGGCAGAUUCUCCAUAAAUAGGCUGGAAUUUUAGAAACUUUAGGACUCAGUGGCUUUUACGCCACCCCAAAACAUCUCAGCCUAAUCACCACCCUCCUUCUACAGUAACACUGGAUGGCAAAAUAAACAGAGACUUGUGGAUCAACAUGUUAAAGUUUACUGCUCUGUUCGUCACAGAGGCUCUGGGUUCAAAGGAGGGAAGCAUUGUGCAGAGUGGCUUGCUGAACUAGCAUCCUGCCUUCAAAGAAGAUCCUGUUCUGGGAAGCACCUAAAAUACUUGAGUCAUGCUAAAUUUCUUAGCUGAACUAGUUCAUCUUUACUCUUCUCAUUUUCUUUCCUAACAGAUAAAUUCACAGACCAGUGAAUGGUAAGUUAAUAGAGCCCAAUUUCAAUUAAUUAUUACAGCUGUUUCAUUUUAGAGGUAAGGUUUCCUUUCUUGGAAAUCCAGUAACUGAAAAAUUCCAAACUUGAAGAAGGCAAAAGGCUUUUUUUUUUUUUUUUAAAACAAGGAUGGCCACUUAAAAUUUUAGCAGUUCCAUCUGUAGCCUUAUAGUCAAGGCCAAGAGGAUCUAAGAAGACAUUGCUAAUUUAGAAGGCAUUAUGAAACACAGGUAGUGCCUGUCAUUCUAAAUAAAUUCUUCUCUAGCAAAUGUGACAAAAUAACAAAAGAAAUCUUCAUUUUGGGGCUUUAUUUAAUUUUUUUUUUCUUUUAAAGAUGCUACAUAGUCCAUCAGGAUUGGUCAUUUACGGCAUAGAACUAAUUUACAGUCAACUCUCAAUUAUCUGCUUUGUAGGUUAGUUGGGAGAAUGUUUCCCCUGAUCACCAAGCCCCUCAUUUGGGGUGGGUCUCCUCUCUCUUGCCUCCCAUUUCUCUCCAGGACUAUCUCCCCUAGCCACUUCUAGAACACUGUCCCCUCCAUACUACUGGGAUAAUUUUCCAUGUUGCUACUCCAAUUAAGGGCCAAAUUUGGGGGUGGGGUGGGCAGGGGACAGGGACUGAGACUAAGCACAGUGAGGGAAAAUGAAAUAGGAUGAAUUCAAGAGUGACAUUAAAAUAACAUUUUUUAAAAGGUUAUCUGCACUAUGGCUAC